AGCCAUGGUGUAUAUUUUCGCCUUGGAGACAGAUGAGCCACUUUGUUGGGACUGCAGCUGGCAGCUGUGCUGAAAAUAGAUAUGGGACAAGGAAGGAGGCAGAGAGACCAGAGAGGAGGCCACCAGAACAUGUCUGUGGGAAACGACUGCAGUUUGAAUUGGGCUAUUAGCAGUCAAAAGAUGAUGAAACUGAGGCAGAGAGGUUAGGUCUCCUACCCAGGAUUGGACCUAGGCCAUCUGGCUCUGCAGUCUGUGCCUCUAACCUCACUUCUUUGCUGCCUUUCUUCAUUCCCAAAAUCAGUGGAGGGC